UCAACCCUCGAACCUCCGUUUCCUCAGGGAAGCCCAGGGUCGGUGUUGGGGCGCUACGGCGAGUCUUCGCGACCCCCGUAGGCCCUGAAAUACAGUGGCGGUCCCGCCGCGGUUGCCUUCUGCGUAGUAAGUCUCUUUUGCAAGCUCGCAUUGGGUCCCGGCGGAGGCCUGCCGUCAAACCACCUAACAACUCCAGAUGGU
rnacentral:misc_RNA from 1 species